rnacentral:rRNA from 2 species
CUCAUAAAGUGCGUCGUAGUCCGGAUUGGAGUCUGCAACUCGACUCCAUGAAGUCGGAAUCGCUAGUAAUCGUGGAUCAGAAUGCCACGGUGAAUACGUUCCCGGGCCUUGUACACACCGCCCGUCACACCAUGGGAGUGGGUUGCAAAAGAAGUAGGUAGCUUAACCUUCGGGAGGGCGCUUACCACUUUGUGAUUCAUGACUGGGGUGAAGUCGUAACAAGGUAACCGUAGGGGAACCUGCGGUUGGAUCACCUCCUUACCUGAAAGAA